rnacentral:rRNA from 1 species
CACUAUCGUUAACUGAAUACAUAGGUUAACGAGGCGAACCGGGGGAACUGAAACAUCUAAGUACCCCGAGGAAAAGAAAUCAACCGAGAUUCCCCCAGUAGCGGCGAGCGAACGGGGAGCAGCCCAGAGUCUGAAUCAGCUUGUGUGUUAGUGGAACGGUCUGGAAAGUCCGACGGUACAGGGUGAUAGUCCCGUACACCAAAAUGCACAGGUUGUGAACUCGAAGAGUAGGGCGGGACACGUGGUAUCCUGUCUGAAUAUGGGGGGACCAUCCUCCAAGGCUAAAUACUCCUGACUGACCGAUAGUGAACCAGUACCGUGAGGGAAAGGCGAAAAGAACCCCGGCGAGGGGAGUGAAAAAGAACCUGAAACCGUGUACGUACAAGCAGUGGGAGCACCUUCGGGUGUGACUGCGUACCUUUUGUAUAAUGGGUCAGCGACUUAUAUUCUGUAGCAAGGUUAACCGUAUAGGGGAGCCGCAGGGAAACCGAGUCUUAACUGGGCGUUAAGUUGCAGGGUAUAGACCCGAAACCCGGUGAUCUAGCCAUGGGCAGGUUGAAGGUUGGGUAACACUAACUGGAGGACCGAACCGACUAAUGUUGAAAAAUUAGCGGAUGACUUGUGGCUGGGGGUGAAAGGCCAAUCAAACCGGGAGAUAGCUGGUUCUCCCCGAAAGCUAUUUAGGUAGCGCCUCGUGAAUUCAUCUUCGGGGGUAGAGCACUGUUUCGGCUAGGGGGUCAUCCCGACUUACCAACCCGAUGCAAACUACGAAUACCGAAGAAUGUUAUCACGGGAGACACACGGCGGGUGCUAACGUCCGUCGUGAAGAGGGAAACAACCCAGACCGCCAGCUAAGGUCCCAAAGUCAUGGUUAAGUGGGAAACGAUGUGGGAAGGCACAGACAGCCAGGAUGUUGGCUUAGAAGCAGCCAUCAUUUAAAGAAAGCGUAAUAGCUCACUGGUCGAGUCGGCCUGCGCGGAAGAUGUAACGGGGCUAAACCAUGCACCGAAGCUGCGGCAGCGACACUAUGUGUUGUUGGGUAGGGGAGCGUUCUGUAAGCCUGCGAAGGUGACCUGUGAGGGUUGCUGGAGGUAUCAGAAGUGCGAAUGCUGACAUAAGUAACGAUAAAGCGGGUGAAAAGCCCGCUCGCCGGAAGACCAAGGGUUCCUGUCCAACGUUAAUCGGGGCAGGGUGAGUCGACCCCUAAGGCGAGGCCGAAAGGCGUAGUCGAUGGGAAACAGGUUAAUAUUCCUGUACUUGGUGUUACUGCGAAGGGGGGACGGAGAAGGCUAUGUUAGCCGGGCGACGGUUGUCCCGGUUUAAGCAUGUAGGCUGGUUGUCCAGGCAAAUCCGGAUAAUCAAGGCUGAGGUGUGAUGACGAGGUACUACGGUGCUGAAGUAACAAAUGCCCUGCUUCCAGGAAAAGCCUCUAAGCAUCAGGUAACAUUAAAUCGUACCCCAAACCGACACAGGUGGUCAGGUAGAGAAUACCAAGGCGCUUGAGAGAACUCGGGUGAAGGAACUAGGCAAAAUGGUGCCGUAACUUCGGGAGAAGGCACGCUGGUGUGUAGGUGAAGUCCCUGCGGAUGGAGCUGAGACCAGUCGAAGAUACCAGCUGGCUGCAACUGUUUAUUAAAAACACAGCACUGUGCAAACACGAAAGUGGACGUAUACGGUGUGACGCCUGCCCGGUGCCGGAAGGUUAAUUGAUGGGGUUAUCCGUAAGGAGAAGCUCUUGAUCGAAGCCCCGGUAAACGGCGGCCGUAACUAUAACGGUCCUAAGGUAGCGAAAUUCCUUGUCGGGUAAGUUCCGACCUGCACGAAUGGCGUAAUGAUGGCCAGGCUGUCUCCACCCGAGACUCAGUGAAAUUGAACUCGCUGUGAAGAUGCAGUGUACCCGCGGCAAGACGGAAAGACCCCGUGAACCUUUACUAUAGCUUGACACUGAACAUUGAGCCUUGAUGUGUAGGAUAGGUGGGAGGCUUUGAAGCGUGGACGCCAGUCUGCGUGGAGCCAACCUUGAAAUACCACCCUUUAAUGUUUGAUGUUCUAACGUUGGCCCCUUACCGGGGUUGCGGACAGUGUCUGGUGGGUAGUUUGACUGGGGCGGUCUCCUCCCAAAGCGUAACGGAGGAGCACGAAGGUUAGCUAAUCCUGGUCGGACAUCAGGAGGUUAGUGCAAUGGCAUAAGCUAGCUUGACUGCGAGCGUGACGGCGCGAGCAGGUGCGAAAGCAGGUCAUAGUGAUCCGGUGGUUCUGAAUGGAAGGGCCAUCGCUCAACGGAUAAAAGGUACUCCGGGGAUAACAGGCUGAUACCGCCCAAGAGUUCAUAUCGACGGCGGUGUUUGGCACCUCGAUGUCGGCUCAUCACAUCCUGGGGCUGAAGUAGGUCCCAAGGGUAUGGCUGUUCGCCAUUUAAAGUGGUACGCGAGCUGGGUUUAGAACGUCGUGAGACAGUUCGGUCCCUAUCUGCCGUGGGCGCUGGAGAAUUGAGGGGGGCUGCUCCUAGUACGAGAGGACCGGAGUGGACGCAUCACUGGUGUUCGGGUUGUCAUGCCAAUGGCACUGCCCGGUAGCUAAAUGCGGAAGAGAUAAGUGCUGAAAGCAUCUAAGCACGAAACUUGCCCCGAGAUGAGUUCUCCCUGAGACUUUAAGUCUCCUGAAGGAACGUUGAAGACGACGACGUUGAUAGGCCGGGUGUGUAAGCGCAGCGAUGCGUUGAGCUAACCGGUACUAAUGAACCGUGAGGCUUAACCUU